rnacentral:lncRNA from 1 species
UUGAACUGUAACAGUUUUUCCUUGUUUCUUUCUUUUUUCACCAACUGGGAUCUAAGAUUGACUUACAGAAGCAAGUGCAAGUGCCAAGAAGCCAGGAGCCAUGUCUAUUUUCUUCUCUACAAGUUCUACUCAGUACCUAAUUCAGUGACUAAUACAGAGCAGGAAUUUGACAGAUGCCUGUUGAAUGAAUGACAAUAGGGGAUUUUGGACAGUUGGAUUAAUUUUUCCAUUUAAGAUGAGCAUACUGAAGCCCAGAGACAUUAAGUAACUAGGCUCAUUAGUAGUGACAGUGAUGUUGCCACCAAACUGUAAAGCCAGGAUUUGGACUCAGGCAAGUGACCCCACAGUUGUGUUCUUGAGUGCUCCACCGCAGCAUCACUACAGGAAGUGGACUAGAUUCUCAUGGGCCUUCAGGAUGAUGAAGAAUUCUGGACGAUUUACAGUGGAAAAUCAGGAUUACUGUGGUUUUUGCCUGCUCCUCCCUGUUCUUCCUUCUUUGUUGUUUAGACAAAUUCUAAACGACAGACCUUCAGCUCUCAAAUGCUAGAACCUUGACGAAGAUUUAUAGCCUAUUCUCUUUAGAGUGCCACUUUUCCUUCCUUUCUUAACUGGACUAUGAAUGGCUCUUAUCUACUUUUGUUCUUUUAUUUUUUUCACA